GUCUGUGGCACCGCUGCAGAACAUUCCACUGAGGUGUUUCUCCUCUGAGCUGCUCUAAGUACAAGUCAGUCAGCCCUUGGAAGAAGGACAGGUUGGGUGCAGAAACUUAAUUUUAAAGCCUGGAUCUGAAAUUUUUCAACUUCUUUUGUUAUGAAGUGAUUUCCAGCAGGAGUGAUGCAAAAGCUGAAAGGCUUCAUACUACAGGAAGAGGAUAUGGUUAAAGGCACCAGGAUGUCUACAAAACAGAUUUAUUUCCAUCUCAGCAGGAGGCAGCCAUGUUUCUCUAAGUGUUGAUUAAACUGUUCCUCCAUGGUGGC
rnacentral:lncRNA from 1 species